rnacentral:rRNA from 1 species
UGGGGAAUAUUGGACAAUGGGGGCAACCCUGAUCCAGCAAUGCCGCGUGUGUGAAGAAGGCCUUCGGGUUGUAAAGCACUUUUAUCGGGAACGAAACCUUGACGGUGAAUAUCCGGCAAGACUGACGGUACCCGAGGAAUAAGCACCGGCUAACUUCGUGCCAGCAGCCGCGGUAAUACGAAGGGGGCUAGCGUUGUUCGGAAUUACUGGGCGUAAAGCGCGCGCAGGCGGUCUUCCAAGUCAGUGGUGAAAGCCCGGAGCUCAACUCCGGAACUGCCAUUGAAACUGUGAGACUUGAGGAUGAGAGAGGUGAGUGGAAUUCCCAGUGUAGAGGUGAAAUUCGUAGAUAUUGGGAAGAACACCGGUGGCGAAGGCGGCUCACUGGCUCAUUUCUGACGCUCAGGCGCGACAGCGUGGGGAUCAAAC